rnacentral:rRNA from 1 species
UACAGAGGUCCCAAGCGUUGUUCGGAUUCACUGGGCGUAAAGGGUGCGUAGGCGGUCGUGUAAGUCUGAUGUGAAAUCUCACAGCUUAACUGAGGAAGUGCGCCCGAAACUGCAGAGCUUGAAUAUCGGAGAGGAUGGCGGAAUUCCCCAAGUAGAGGUGAAAUUCGUAGAUAUGGGGAGGAACACCGGUGGCGAAGGCGGCCAUCUGGACGACUAUUGACGCUGAGACGCGAAAGCAUGGGGAGCAAACAGG